AUUGAACGCUGGCGGCAUGCCUUACACAUGCAAGUCGAACGGUAACAGGUCUUCGGAUGCUGACGAGUGGCGAACGGGUGAGUAAUACAUCGGAACGUGCCUAGUAGUGGGGGAUAACUACUCGAAAGAGUGGCUAAUACCGCAUGAGAUCUACGGAUGAAAGCAGGGGAUCGCAAGACCUUGUGCUACUAGAGCGGCCGAUGGCAGAUUAGGUAGUUGGUGGGAUAAAAGCUUACCAAGCCGACGAUCUGUAGCUGGUCUGAGAGGACGAUCAGCACCACUGGGACUGAGACACGGCCCAGACUCCUACGGGAGGCAGCAGUGGGGAAUUUUGGACAAUGGGCGCAAGCCUGAUCCAGCAAUGCCGCGUGCAGGAUGAAGGCCUUCGGGUUGUAAACUGCUUUUGUACGGAACGAAAAGCCCUGGGUUAAUACCCUGGGGUCAUGACGGUACCGUAAGAAUAAGCACCGGCUAACUACGUGCCAGCCGCCGCAGUAACAC
rnacentral:rRNA from 1 species